rnacentral:tRNA from 1 species
GACUCAGUGGUCCAUUGGUGAAGUGCUUGUCUCGGAGCCAGGGGGUCCUGGGUUCGAUCCCCGACGGGGUCG